GACGAACGCUGGCGGCGUGCUUAACACAUGCAAGUCGAACGGAAAGGCCCUGCUUGCCGGGUACUCGAGUGGCGAACGGGUGAGUAACACGUGGGUGAUCUGCCCUGCACUUCGGGAUAAGCCUGGGAAACUGGGUCUAAUACCGGAUAGGAGCCAUUUUUAGUGUGAUGGUUGGAAAGUUUUUUCGGUGUAGGAUGAGCUCGCGGCCUAUCAGCUUGUUGGUGGGGUAAUGGCCUACCAAGGCGGCGACGGGUAGCCGGCCUGAGAGGGUGGACGGCCACAUUGGGACUGAGAUACGGCCCAGACUCCUACGGGAGGCAGCAGUGGGGAAUAUUGCACAAUGGGCGCAAGCCUGAUGCAGAGACGCCGCGUGGGGGAUGACGGCCUUCGGGUUGUAAACUCCUUUCGCUAGGGACGAAGCUUUUUGUGACGGUACCUAGAUAAGAAGCACCGGCUAACUACGUG
rnacentral:rRNA from 1 species